UCCCCCGUGCGGGAUCUGUCAAUAAAACGAAAACGAUUACAAUGGUGUGAGAGCUUCGAUGGAACGGGUGACUAUACUGCUCUUCAUGCUCUCAUUCACAACCACAUAUGCGUUUUCAGACUGGUGUAAUGCGACCUACAACGAACGCCUGGAGCGAGCCAUUGCUGGGGUACUGAAUGGUAUCCAAGAAGUACAUGUCUCUGAAAUGGAAGUAGGAAGGUCCAGGACCAGGAUCUCUAGGCUUCGAUGGUUACAGGGUUGUCGGUCUUGGUGGGUUGCGACGCCACGGAGAUCUUCGCACACUGUGCGAAAACGAAACUCAGGUGGUGAGCUUUGACUUAGUGGCAGAAGAACCCGUGGUCUGCUCGUUCUUGAAGACGGGUAGCGAAGACAGCCCUUUGGAAAUCGCAGCACACAAUCUCAGAGUAACCACGCAUCUCCGGUUCAUCGCUGGCCCUCCGGAUGACAACGGUGUUGAAGCAGACCGAAGGGUUCUGGACCAGUACGAUGGGCCUCUUGUUACGACAUUACGUACUGGGCGUGUCUCAGUGAACGUCGACGAUGCUUCUGGCAGCGCGGGCAAUGCAACAGUGGGUCUACUGAGACAUUUGGCUCUGGCUGCCAUUCAAGACUCUUGGGAAGAACUAUUUGUGUCACAGUUUGUCAAAGUCCUGAAGAACCGUUAGUCUGAACCUAAAUCAAACAGAAAUAACUGGAGAUAUAUGGCACAGGAGUAAGUGGCACCAGCACUAUACUUUAUUGGUGCUCACAUUUAUAGCUGCCAGAAUGUUUCAUGUUUUGGUCUAACUUUAGGAAAGACAGUUGUGAUCUUACAAAUCU